GCUGGCGGCGUGCUUAAUACAUGCAAGUCGUACGAGAAAGCCCGAUUUCGGUUGGGCAAGUAAAGUGGCGAACGGGUGAGUAACACGUGGAUAAUCUACCCUUAAAUCUGGGAUAAUCCUCCGAAAGGAAGUCUAAUACCGGAUAAUAUCGUUGGAAGGCAUCUUCCGGCGAUCAAAGGCGGGGCAACCUGCCGUUUAUGGAUGGGUCCGCGUUCCAUUAGCUUGUUGGUAGGGUAAUGGCCUACCAAGGCGACGAUGGAUAGCCGGCUUGAGAGAGUGAUCGGCCACACUGGGACUGAGAUACGGCCCAGACUCCUACGGGAGGCAGCAGUAGGGAAUAUUGCGCAAUGGACGAAAGUCUGACGCAGCAACGCCGCGUGGGUGAUGAAGCAUCUUGGUGUGUAAAACCCUGUCAGUGGGGAAGAACCGUGCAAGGAGUAACUGCCUUGCACCUGACGGUACCCACAGAGGAAGUCCCGGCUAACUCCGUGCCAGCAGCCGCGGUAAUACGGGGGGGACAAGCGUUGUUCGGAUUUACUGGGCGUAAAGGGCGCGUAGGCGGACUUUCAAGUCGGAUGUGAAAACUCCGGGCUCAACUCGGAGCCUGCAUCCGAUACUGUUGGUCUUGAGUAUAUCA
rnacentral:rRNA from 1 species